rnacentral:rRNA from 1 species
GUCCUUUUGUAUUGUUUAUUUAAGGUCUAGCCUGCCCAAUGAGGAAUUGAAUGGCCGCAGUAUCCUAACUGUGCUAAGGUAGCAUAAUCAUUGUCUUUUAAUUGAAGGCUUGAAUGAAAGGUUGGACGAGAUAUUAACUUUCUUUGAUUUAAUUUUUAGAAUUUAAUUUUUGAGUUAAAAAGCUUAAAUUUAUUUGUUGGACGAGAGACCCUAUAGAUCUUUAUAAUUUUGAUUUUUAUUAAUUUAGUGAUUGUGCUUAUGUAGAAUGAAAAAAUUAUUUUGUUGGGGUGACUGUGGAAUAUUAUUAACUUCUAUUUUUUAAAUUUCAUUAAUUAGUGUUUUUUUGAUCCAUGUUUUAUGAUUAAAAGAUUAAGUUACCUUAGGGAUAACAGCGUAAUUUCUUCGGAGAGUUCAUAUUGAUGAAGAAGUUCGCGACCUCGAUGUUGGAUUAAAAUAAGUUAUAGGCGUAGGGGCCUACUGUACUGGGUCUGUUCGACCCCUUAAUUUUU